rnacentral:lncRNA from 1 species
UGGGUUUUCACCAUUUGGAACCCUAGAAUGAGAUUUAGGGUUGGUUUUGGGGCUUUUUGAUCUAGGGCUUUUGGGGCUAAAUUGAUCGGUCUAGAACCUUCCUAGGGCUUGGAUUGGAAGGGUUCUAGCUCUCUUUUAGAGCUUUGGAAGAGAUUUCUACUCUUGAGGUGAGUUUUGGCCUUUUUGCUUCUAGGUUAAAGUUUGAUCUUAUAUGAUGAUCGUAAUGCCCUCGUAUCUCUUCGCUGAUUACUUUUAGGGUAUUUUGAGACUCGGGGACAACUUGGUUCGGCGAGACGAGGCUCUACGCGACGGUUCGGUGGGUUUGACCUAGCCACACAAUGAGAAAUUCUCAUUUGUGCUUAAUUAAGCAUCGUUAAAUGAAAAAGCAUGCAUAUUCUUAUUAUGUGUAUUUAUUGUGAAUUUUAGAAUGCUCAAAAGGCCUAUGUUAUAUAUGAUGAAAUUUUGGGACCUCUAUGUAGUAGAGAGUAGCUUGUUAGGCCCAUAGUUGCAUUUAGCGUUCUAUAUGAGACGUGGUAUCAUGCUUCUAUAGUAUAAAUGAGUUCGGAUUCAUGCAUUUAAACCUAAGUUUACUUGUGACAUGAAAGUUGACAAAAUUGCCAUUUAGAAGCUAAGUGAGUUAGAGAGCUAUUGUCAUCAAGCGGCAUUGAGCUCAGGAUAUGUGGGAACCUAGUGGAUAGGGCCAUUAGGGAUUUGGGGAUACAUAUUGAACAUUAAAUGUCUAAGUGUCAUAAAGGGGCACUAGACCUAGAGAAUGUUGAAAUUUCACAUUGUGACUUAAACUAGAUCUUCGGGAUGCUAGUAACUAUACCAUGUUAGAGACAUGAGGAUUGGAUACUUGAGACUUGGACUUUGCUUGCUUGCCAUUUGUGCUCAUUCGCACAUGCUUGUGAGGGUCGCUCCCUACAAGUCGGCACUCCGGAGUUAGCCUAUGCGACUUAUGUUCGCUCGUGCGGUAUUGAGAAGCCUACGGGGUCGAGUGGGACAGACACAUCCCAAGAGUGGGGAUGUUGGGCUACCACAGGCACUUAGGCGGCACAAGCUGGACUACCUUUGGUAGGUCCUUGAUUGGAAAUGGAAAUCGAUACGGGGUUGAGAAUGAACAAUCACUACUAGAUAGACUUAGUAGUUGGGUUACAUUUGCAUGCAUAUAGCAUAGGGUUGAGACAUGUAGUAUACUUGACAGAUACCUAUUUCAUCACAGUAUACUUGGUUGCCACGAUAGAGCUUAUACAUCAUGUUCGAAUAAAGGGUUGUAACAGUAAACUAUUGUCAUUGGUUACUUUUCCUUAUGAUAGAAUAUAAGUACAGCAUUUUGACAUCGUGCUUAUGAGGGAUAUAUUAUUAUAGCAAUUUACUUAUGCAC